rnacentral:rRNA from 1 species
UACGUAGGGGGCGAGCGUUGUCCGGAUUUAUUGGGCGUAAAGAGCUCGUAGGCGGUUUGUCGCGUCUGCUGUGAAAUCUGGGGGCUCAACCCCCAGCCUGCAGUGGGUACGGGCAGACUAGAGUGCGGUAGGGGAGAUUGGAAUUCCUGGUGUAGCGGUGGAAUGCGCAGAUAUCAGGAGGAACACCGAUGGCGAAGGCAGAUCUCUGGGCCGUAACUGACGCUGAGGAGCGAAAGCAUGGGGAGCGAACAGG